rnacentral:rRNA from 1 species
UACGAAGGGUGCGAGCGUUAAUCGGAAUUACUGGGCGUAAAGCGCGUGUAGGCGGUUGGUUAAGUCAGAUGUGAAAGCCCGGGCUCAACCUGGGAACGGCAUUUGAUACUGGCUGACUAGAAUGUGGUAGAGGGAGGCGGAAUUCCCGGUGUAGCGGUGAAAUGCGUAGAGAUCGGGAAGAACACCAAUGGCGAAGGCAGCCUCCUGGGCCAACAUUGACGCUGAGACGCGAAAGCGUGGGGAGCAAACAGG